rnacentral:rRNA from 1 species
AUUGAACGCUGGCGGCAUGCUUUACACAUGCAAGUCGAACGGUAACAGGCCGCUAGGUGCUGACGAGUGGCGAACGGGUGAGUAAUGCAUCGGAACGUGCCCAGUCGUGGGGGAUAACUACUCGAAAGAGUAGCUAAUACCGCAUACGAUCUAUGGAUGAAAUCGGGGGACCGUAAGGCCUCGCGCGAUUGGAGCGGCCGAUGUCCGAUUAGGUAGUUGGUGGGGUAAAGGCUCACCAAGCCAACGAUCUGUAGCUGGUCUGAGAGGACGACCAGCCACACUGGGACUGAGACACGGCCCAGACUCCUACGGGAGGCAGCAGUGGGGAAUUUUGGACAAUGGGCGCAAGCCUGAUCCAGCAAUGCCGCGUGCAGGAAGAAGGCCUUCGGGUUGUAAACUGCUUUUGUACGGAACGAAACGGCUCUGGUUAAUACCCGGGGCUAAUGACGGUACCGUAAGAAUAAGCACCGGCUAACUACGUG